rnacentral:rRNA from 1 species
AACACAUGCAAGUCGAGGGGCAGCAUGAAGUUGCUGCAAACUUGAUGGCGACCGGCGCACGGGUGAGUAACGCGUAUCCAACCUGGCCCGCAGUAGGGAACAGCCCGGCGAAAGUCGGAUUAAUGCCCUAUCGUCUUCCUUUGCAGGCAUCCAAUGAGGAAGAAAGAUUUAUCGCUGCGGGAUGGGGAUGCGUCUGAUUAGCUUGUCGGCGGGGUAACGGCCCACCGAGGCGACGAUCAGUAGGGGUUCUGAGAGGAAGGUCCCCCCACACUGGUACUGAGACACGGACCAGACUCCUACGGGAGGCAGCAGUGAGGAAUAUUGGUCAAUGGGCGAGAGCCUGAACCAGCCAAGUAGCGUGCAGGACGACUGCCCUAUGGGUUGUAAACUGCUUUUAUGCGGGGAUAAACUUCAGCACGUGUGCUGUUUUGCAGGUACCGCAUGAAUAAGGACCGGCUAAUUCCGUGCCAGCAGCUGC